UUGUUUGAUGUUUGGUACUUUGCGUCUAUUUUUUCCCCAUAGUUUUGGAUAUCUUUUUGGUAUUUAAAUUAUUUUACUACUCUUUUAGAGUUUUUAAAUUGAGAAAUUCCUUACGAUAACUUUUUUUAUCUUAUUUUUACAAAAAUAGCCUCCAAUGAAAAAAAUGAACAAAAUAAGUUUUAUUAAAAAGCAAAAAUACAUUUUUACCGUAUGAUAAACUAAUUUAGACUUAAGGUUUUAGUGUUAAGAGGUGAUAGUUUGGAGAUAAGAUUUUGAGUUUUUUAAAAUAAAAAAUAAAUAUUAAAAAUUUCAAAAUAAAAAAGAUCAUUUUGGUUAUUUUCUUCCUUAUUUUUGUGACAAUAACUUAAAAAAAAUAUUUAAGAAAAUCGCCUUUUUAAAUUUAUGCAAAUUUUGUAUAUAUUUCGGAUUUACGUGUAUAUUUUCAGUAUAUAAUAAUAAAUAUCUCUGAAUCAAACAAAUAACAAAGUGAUAUUUAUUCCAUAAAUAUCCCAAACAACCAUUUCUUUAUUUUUUUUACUUAACGUUGAAAACUAAUAAAAACAUAAUUGAUUUAUAUGAUAGUAAAUAGAUAGAAACUAAAGAUAAAGACAAUUGGUACAACCCAACUAAUGGACCCUUUAUCACACAUGGUAUACACUUCUCACUAGCUAUUCCGACAUGAUUUAAUUGUAAGGAAAUCUUAUGUCUCAGAAACUGAUGGUGAACCAGUGACGGUACUAUAUCGGCAUCCGAAGUAUCAUCUCUCGCCUCCCUUGACUCACCAUCACAACCUUAAUAUCAAUGCUCAAGACUUGAUUCCCAUCACUACUAUUGCUGAUGGUGUUGAAUGUUGAUGGGGUUAUCUCAGUUUCGGCUAAAACUAUAAACGAAAGCAACCAGCAACAUUUACUCCAGCUGUGGUAGAUGAUGUUGAAGCUACGCCUUCUAUGGAAAAUACAACGUCUCUAUUUCUUUCUCAGGAGUGUGGAUGAAGCCUUUGAUAUUGGAACCCUUCACUUGAGACUCCUGUUCCCAAGGUUCAUUCUUGAUCAUCUGACAUUCUUCAUCCGAAGUUGAAGGAAGAUGAAAAUCCUGUGGUUUCCUUAGGAAGCAAAAAUGGAUCAAAAGCCUAUAUUCAGAUCCGACCCUGAGAGGAAGCAUGGCUCCCAGCCCUCAAGAAUAUAAAUUAAUUUUGGCCAUAAUUUUGCAAAAGUCUCUUUAAUUUAGUGGUGUUACUAAUGUAUAUCUAAGCUCUGCAGCCUUAGUUCAAACCCAGUAUGCUACUCUCAGCCUUUUUUUUUCUCAGUAAGCUUGUAGUCUUCAAAAAGCCAGGACCAGUAUUGGCCAUUAUUCUACAUUGCACUACUUCACCAACUUAUUUGGAAGACAGCACAACAAUGGUGGUCAUUCCAAACCAUAUGGUCUUGAAAACAAAAAGAGUAUGUGAUCUAACAGUGUUAUCGUUUCUCCAUUCCAUUGGGAGGUCUCACUCACGCUGUAAUAAACUGGAUGUGGAGUAAUAAGUGUGGAAAUUUGUCCCGAAAAUACGGAGUUUUUUUGUUUCAUUAUCUCGAAUGAAGAGUCAACUAGAACUUGGGUUUUAGGUAGAGGAUUAUGGCACACACUGUUCUCAUCUAUAUAUAGAAUUUUUUCUCUUUUUGUUGAUAUGUGUCUUCAAUUAAUCUUUAUUUUUACAUUUUAAGUCUUUUUUUAUUUAGAUUACUACAAGUUGGCACAACACUUUUUAAUUGUGCACUUUUAUACUUGGAUUGGUCCCAAAAUUUUUAAUCGUGACCUUAACCCCUAAUUCACACAAAUCACUAAUGCACACAAAUAUGACUAUUAAAUACAACUCGGAGCACUAAAAUGAUCAAAAAUAUAAGACGUCACAUGCACCCUCCCAUCUUUCUCUAUCUCUAGAUUAGGAACUACAAUCAUUCUCCAUAGAUCUAGAUGAUCACCGACUUUUUUCAAGAGAAAAAAGUCUAGAAAUUAUCUAAAUAGUUGUGUCUCUAUUUUUCUAUCUGAUUAAUGUCUUGAAAUUGAAUUUAUUUAUCGAAUCCACUGUAAAUGUAAAAUCCGAUUUAAAAUAAAUACCAGAUAAUUUCACAGGAGAAGAAAACAGAAAGAACAAGAGCACAUAAGUGAGUCUUUUCUGGUAAUGGUAAGAAGUUGAUACACUAAAAAUGAAUCUUAUGCUACUGUCAAGUUAACAGUCUUGUUGUAAUAUGUUUAGAUUUAAUUCCAGAGGACGAGUUCACACUUUAUCCUAUUGGUUCAAUAUUAAGCUAAAACAAUGAGUGAGUUUUAUAAUUGUUUGAAGCGUAGAAAGCAAGUAACAAGUAAUUUAAGGGGUUUCUCGAGGAUGAUAAGCGAGCUAGCCUAGAAUGAUUGAACGGAUUACAAGGGUGCGAGCCAAACAACUAUUCAAGCUAGUCUAGAACUCGGGUAGCAAGGAAUAUCAGCCCACUGUUGUGGUGCUUCUCCUUUUAUCAAUCGAUCUCAGUACUUAAACUCUCGUUUGGAUUGAGAUACGAUGAUAAACAUUAAGAAAUGACCCGAUCUGUUCACAAGACACUUAUACCCAUGGGGUAAACUAAUCUAGACUUAGGAUUUAGAGUUGAGGGGUGGGGUAGGUUUUUGGAAUGUGAAAUUUAGGAUUCUAAUAAAUAUAUAAAUAAAUACUUAAAAAUAUAAAAAAACUUUAGAAAAUAGUUUCAAACAUAAUUUUCGAUUUUCAAAAGGAAUUUUUGAAAAAACAAUAAAAAAAAAAUUUCGAAAAAAAAAUUCAAAAUUUUUUUUAUAAAAAGUUCGAAUUUGAAAAAAUAUAAUUCAAAAACAUUAAAUUUUUUAUUUUUUAUUUUUAUUUUAUUUAAAUAAUAAUUUAUUAUAUAUAUAUAUAUAACAAGGGUAUAAAAGUCUUUUGUACUUAACGAAAAAUGUAUUUUUGAAAAUGUUCAUUUAGUGGUGGUGAAGAUGAAAAGUGGUACCAUGAAAGUGGUAAACAUAAAAUUUCCCCUUUAUUAUAACUAAUCUUCCAAAAUGAUCAAUUGAAAACUUAAUUUAAUUUACAAAAGUCAGAUUAAAUUAAUGUAAGAUAUAAUUAAAUUUUGUGAUUAGAAUAAUAUUUGCAGAUUUGUAUAUUUUGUAACAUUUUUGUGAUUACAACACGUCAAAAGAAUGAGAAAGGCAUUUGAUUCUUUAUGACCACUCAACUUUUGAAAAAUCAUAAGAGGCGGUGAGAACUUUAGGUCGUUCGUGGAAAUCGAGUCACUCUUCCCAUUAGAAUUAGAUAAGCACAUCUCUCCCUCUUUUCUGCUAUUCAUCAUCCUAAUUUUCAGAUCUCAAAAAGAACUCUUACAAUAUUGCAAGAGAUAGAUUCAUAUGGAUGAUCCUCAGGUUCCUCCAGUUCAUAUAGAUGAUCCUCAGGUUCCUCCAGUUACAUCUAAAGUUUCGAGUAUUCCUCUUCUUGGUUGCAUCAUAGAGUUUCUUGUUCAUCUAUGUACGUUUUCCAGUACAACCUUUUCUGACGAACAAGAGAAAAAAUUCAUUGAUGUGGCGGUCGAAGAAAACCGUGCAGCUCAUAAGCACUUUAGGCAACACAAGUGUGCUAAACUCAAUUAGCCUUAAUAUUAAGUAUUUCUUACUAUAUAUAUAUGUAUAUGAAUAUAUAAGAUCUGAUGUGGUAAUAGUUGCCUUACAUAAAGAUUUUUCUAUGAUAUAUUAAUAUGGUUCUACAUGAAUAAAUAUUAUUUUUCAGUUCAUACUAUGUGAAAUUUUUCAUUUGGAGCAAGAAAAGUUGUCAGCCUUUACCAGGAAUAUCCCAGCUAUGCAUCUACGAAUCGUAGCAGCUCACACUGCUUCGUCCAAGAUCUGAUGGCAAGAAUGGAGCUGUACUUUAGUCCACAUGAGAAUGGAGAAUAUACUACUUGUAUGUGUGUGUGUGUGACUCGCAUAGUGUGAGUAUGUUCCACCAUUAUUUCAUUAAUAAAUUUUUGGUUAUAGCCA